rnacentral:lncRNA from 1 species
UAAUGCUCUUUCUGGUGACCAAACACUCAGUUGGAUAACAUAUAGAUUUAAGACAAGCUUUUGAUAGUGAUGACUCCUGGCCACAGAGAUUCACACACAUUGUCCUGGGAUUCAGAUAAGCUAACAAAAUAGAGAUGACCAGAAACAGCUUUUUGACAAGAGACUUGCUGAAAAUGUAACCAUGGCAAGCAGAGUUGCACAAACUAGACAACCGAAAAUUGAUAUCAAGGAGGAGAAUAUCAAUUGCAAGGCUAUCCAUUCC